UACAUAUGAUGAUUAAAAAUUUCACCAUCUUUCGACUGAGAAACAGUGCUGUUAAUUUACAAAUUACCUGAUUUUAGUU